rnacentral:rRNA from 1 species
CCUACGGGAGGCAGCAGUGAGGAAUAUUGGUCAAUGGACGAGAGUCUGAACCAGCCAAGUAGCGUGAAGGAUGACUGCCCUAUGGGUUGUAAACUUCUUUUAUAAAGGAAUAAAACGAGGCACGUGUGCCUUUUUGCAUGUACCUUAUGAAUAAGGAUCGGCUAACUCCGUGCCAGCAGCCGCGGUAAUACGGAGGAUCCGAGCGUUAUCCGGAUUUAUUGGGUUUAAAGGGAGCGUAGAUGGGUUGUUAAGUCAGGUGUGAAAGUUUGCGGCUCAACCGUAAAAUUGCAAUUGAUACUGGCAGGCUGGAGUACAGUUGAGGUAGGCGGAAUGCGUGGUGUAGCGGUGAAAUGCUUAGAUAUCACGAAGAACCCCGAUUGCGAAGGCAGCAUACUAAACUGUGACUGACAUUGAUGCACGAAAGUGUGGGUAUCAAACAGGAUUAGAUACCCCAGUAGUC